UUGAACUCAAAUUUAAGAUGAUAAGAUUUUGUGAGUUGGGAUGUUGAUAAAAUAUUUUAGUUUAUUUUAUUUAUUUUGAUAGUUAUCAGAUUUUGAAUAAAAAAAAAAACAAACAAACAACUAUCCUAAGUUUACUCCCUACACAACCGCCCACUUUCUUUGUUUUUCUUUUCAUACGUUUCCUUAUUUUUCUUUCUUGGUUUUGUUCUUUUUUUUUUCCUUUUUGGUUACUUUUGGUCACUACCAUUGUUCUUUUGCUUGAAUCGUAGAUUGGUGCUCAGUGUAAGUUUUCGCAAGAAUACAUUUUUGGGUCUUUCGUUACUAUUCUGAUUUUAUUUUGUUUCUUGAGUAAGGUGGAUUGUACUUGUAUAACUUUGUGCGAGGUUUUGAUGGGUAAUUUUUGUGUUGUUCAGUUAGGCGAAGGGUAUUGAAUCCUAACAUUCCAGCGAAGUAAAUUCGAUUGUUCGAUGUUGUUCGAGGAAGUAAGUAUUUGGACUCCAUUUAGAGGCUAUAAUUUCAAUUUAGGGAGGUUAUUUUGCUUGUGUUUUACGAAUUAAUUUGGGUAAAUUGAUGAACGAAUGUAGGUUUUGGGGGUUCUAGAAGCAUGCUUAUUCUAACAACGACCAGGAGUGUGAAAAUACCCAAAAAUUCCUUAGAAAUUCGAUUGAUAUUGUGAAACAAAAGCUGUUGCGAAACUGCCUAGUUUUCACACGGUCGUGUGAAUUAUAAGUUGUGUUAUUAGUAAAAUGAAUUAUGUAAGCAUGUCCUGUAACAUAUGCUAUAUGUAUGUAUGUUGUCUGUUUAUGAUUAUAUGAUAUGUAUAAUAUACGAAUCUGAUAUGUAGAUGUUUGGGGUGGGAUUUGUUAUGAUGGAAGAAAUGUGUAUGGCAAUAUUUACUGCAAAAAUGCCAGCUAGACUGCAAAACUAUAUGUAUGGCAGCUUAGUUGCAAUUAUAUGAGUGGCAGACCACCACAUAUUGGUGUGAUUGGAUAGAUGGACUUGUGUAGUCCAAUAUGAUGUGAUUGGUUGGACGGAGCUGCUGUGUAACGGAUAGGAGUAGAAUAUGUUACGCAUGUUAUGAUUUGAUAUGAUAUGAUAUGUUUGUUAUAACCUAGAAAGAUGUGAUAUGGUAUGAUAAGCUAUAAUUCCUAUGAAUUUUGUUAUGAUGUGAAAUAUGUAAAAUAUGUAAAACAUAAGUUUGUGAUAUUUUGAUUAAUGUAUUCUUUUAUGUAUUGUGAGUCUGGGUCAAAUUGUACAUUGGGUCUUAAAGCUCACGAUUUUAUUUGCUUGUCUGAUUUCGGGUAACCUUUCGAACUAGGAUUGGACGGCG
rnacentral:lncRNA from 1 species